UCGUUCGCGACAGAAAUUACACGGUGAAACGAAAACGUCGCCGCCGAUCGAACAAAAAUAGAUCGAGAUAAUGGGAAAUACUACACACUGCUCCGUUCGAUUGGGAAAGUUUUUCAAAUGGGGUUGAAAAUGUGUUUGAGCGAUUAAAAUGUCGGUGCUGAUCUUAGCACGAAGCAUAUAAACCUAUGAACAGCGAAGCAUGGGUCAAUUGUGACCCAAACUUAUAAAACGUAUACAAGGAUAUUAAUCCAAAGUUAAGUGUAUCAUUUAGAAAAUGUAAAUAACAUGAAAUGCAAAAUUAAAUUAAAAUUGGGGCUUUCUCUAUGGUCCGCCGUUCGAGAAUUAAUAUUACUAGUGUUAAAGUUAAAUCCUAGUAAAGUUUGAAAAAAGAUAAAAUCCUGGAUUUACUCGGCAAAAAUAAACUAAGUUCUUUGAACUGACUACGCAAUAAGUUCCAUGAAAGUCAAGGAAAGGAACGAAACUGUUAUUGGACGUGAAUAAUUCAUGACAAACGUGUAAGCAAAUCUGUAUCUCAUCCAUCUUCCAUCAUCCCGAGGACACUCAGGCUAUUACAACUCCGUCUAGACGAAACGUUCCAUCGUUCUUGAUCGUUUAAUAAGGAAUACGUAAUGUUCUCUUACUCGUCGCUGUUUCAGCGAGACACGCGUUCACCACGCUCGCCUUAAGGGUCGUAUAAAUGGCUUAUUAAUUAUAGCGAGUUUUACGAUAACGACAUAACGAAUUAACGAGCGACGACGAGCAAUGAUCGUAACACGCUUUACAACGUAUAAUUACGUGCAAACAUGAUACAAGGGUCUUCACGGUAGACGGGACUGAAUAUCUUCUCUGUACACAACGGGUAAAUUGUGUCACCGACUGUCCUAAGGGCUGACCUCUUAGACGUAUUUUACGCUUGAAUUUCGAAGGGGAAGAGGUUCUGGCACGAGAAAAACCAGCUGAGCGAAAAGUUGCGGAAGUUACUGCGUUCCAAGGAAAAUCGACAGAACCUUUCGCGAAGAUGAUGAAAAAUAUGUAAAAUUCAUCCGCACCUUCCUAUUUUUUUAUUUC